rnacentral:rRNA from 1 species
UACGUAGGGUGCGAGCGUUAAUCGGAAUUACUGGGCGUAAAGCGUGCGCAGGCGGUUUUGUACGCCAGAUGUGAAAUCCCCGGGCUUAACCUGGGAAUGGCAUUUGGGACUGCAAGGCUGGAGUGUGGCAGAGGAGACUGGAAUUCCUGGUGUAGCAGUGAAAUGCGUAGAUAUCAGGAGGAAUACCGAUGGCGAAGGCAGGUCUCUGGGCUAACACUGACGCUCAUGCACGAAAGCGUGGGGAGCAAACAGG